CGUAGGGAGCAAGCGUUGUCCGGAAUCAUUGGGCGUAAAGCGCGCGUAGGCGGCCUCGUAAGUCCGUUGUGAAAGUCAAAGGCUCAACCUUUGAAAGCCGAUGGAUACUGUGAGGCUAGAGUCCGGAAGAGGCGAGUGGAAUUCCUGGUGUAGCGGUGGAAUGCGCAGAUAUCAGGAGGAACACCAAUAGCGAAGGCAGCUCGCUGGGACGGUACUGACGCUAAAGCGCGAAAGCGUGGGGAGCGAACAGGAUUAGAUACCCUGGUAGUCCACGCCGUAAACGAUGGGCACUAGGUGUGGGAGGUGUCGACUCCUCCCGUGCCGUCGCUAACGCACUAAGUGCCCCGCCUGGGGAGUACGGCCGCAAGGCUA
rnacentral:rRNA from 1 species